GGCGGCCGCGGCCAGCGGCCACGCCACGAGACGACGACGGCGACGACGGCGACGCGAAUGAUUGGUAGGAGAGAGGGGCGUACGGCGGGGCGAUCCGGGCAGGGCGGAAGGCGACAACGGGAAGUGGGCCGCGACAAGAUCCAUGAUCCGAGGAGAUGGAAAAUACAGGGAGGUUAGAGAAAGAUAUUUUUACAGUGAGAUGGCGUUGGCCAAAACUGGAUGUCUGCAAUGCUGCAGCCAAAGCCAUGACAUUGUCUAUACAGUACAUGUCAGCAAGUGGAACGCAGAACAGUUACUCUGAGAAGGUACCCAGAUGGGUCAUGAGAGCAGCUCAAUGCCUGGUGUUGGCAGUCAUGAUGUGGUGAGAUAUAAUUUCAAGACGACAAUGCCCUUAGGUUGGUGGAACAUCCAUUAUAAGGAGGAUUCGAAAUAAGUGGGGCAGUAAUUUGUUUGAUGAUGCUUUUUAUUUGGUCUGCCGUACCAGUCCACCAAUCCCUGUUAUACAUUUGGGUAUUAUCAGAAGAGCACAGUCACGUGAUGCACAUGUGAUGCCAUGGAUUCUUGGACGAAUGGCAUGAUCAUCGAUUCAUGGUGCCUGCUCUUGGCAUCUGACACGACAGCAUUUCUUGGAAGGAAAAGCGAGUGUUUCCCAAAUGACGCUAAGGCCUUAAAAGGAAGAUGACAAACAAACAUCUGCGGGGGGAAAUGUGCAGCUGAGGGGUUGGAUGUUGUGCAGGCAUGAGUUUUUUCCUUUUGCCCAAUCGAGCUUGGCUUUGGGAAGAAGAGAAAGGCGUUUGAUGGAGGCAGGUCCGUCCGUCCGUCCGUCCCUCAGGUGGGGAGAAGAGCCUGUGCUCCACCUGGCCAGUGAAGUGGUGGCUGGCUGCCCUGUCAAUGCCUUUGCCUUUUUUCACAAAAGAGGUAAAAAGGAGCUGUGCACUUGAAACUUUGAUGCUGGCAAGCCUACACGUACCGGGCAUUAUGGGAGUACCUCCUGUCUGUGGAGCUUGUGAGAUGAUGCAGCAGCAGCAGCAGCAACAGCAACAGUCAAUUUGGGUAUAAGUAAAUCCUGCUGUGCAAUGCAAUGCACACUGAGCAGUGGGUGCCCCUUUUUCUUUUUCUGCAGAUCAAUGAUUGGGAGUUUUGAGGCAUAUGGUAGGUACUUUAUGGUUUCUUUUACCCCUUAGGCGGCCGCUGUAGGGCACUAGCUGAGCUUGUGCCCCAGAUUGUUUGCAACACAACACAGUUAAGCAGCAUGAGUCCAGGAACUGGGAUUUGAGAGUGAGCAAUAUACUACUAUGUAGAAUUCUGCUGCGGCUGCAAGGCAAAAACAUUCCCUGUGCACAAGGACAAGUGUGCCUGUAUCAUCAUAUUGGAAGCAUGCGUUUGUUUAUUAAUAAUCUCGCCAUGGAAACCGGUAAGCAGCAGAUCCCAAGAGCCUCGCCUUGGCUGUCCCAAGUACUCCCCCCACAAGCACAAGCACUGGAGUCCAAUCCACUCCAGCAGCGGCAGCGGCAAGCAGGGCAGGUGGCCAUCUCAUCUCAUCUCAUCCCACCCCAUUUCCAUGCACCCUCUUGUGUGAUGCAAACAAUGUUGCAGCCAGCGCAGUCUGACAGAGGAGAUGAACAGUUCGCAGGCCCCUCCACCAGGUCCGGUGCGGCAGGCAGCGCCUUUAUCGGCCGCUACAGUCCUGGUCCUCGGUCGGCCCGCGAUCGCCCGCCCGCCCUUGCCAGUGGUGAGUGACAGCUUGCCCCGGCGCCGUACGGUACAUGUCCAUGUGUGCUGCGUUGUUUACAGAGGAGGUGUUAGCAAUGGAGCUGCUGAUGAUGCAGCGACGCUGAGCAGAGCAGAGCAGGCGCACACCACCAUUGCUAUGCCUAUGUUAUGAUCAAAUCUAUCUUCUACCCUUCGUCUAUCUGCUGCUUGAUGCUGCUGCUGCUGCUGCUAUCUUGGCUGCCGUGCUUGCUCCAACUGUGGCACACCAUUUGUUCCCUUGGCAAGGCACUCUUAAAUGGCCCGCACCCAGCGGUGCCCAUCUCUUCCUUUAAUGGCUUCUACUCUGCAUCGCGGGAGAAGGACCACAAGAAUGACAGAGAAA